AUAUUAAUAAGGGGAGGAAAAGAAACUAACAAGGAUUCCCUUAGUAACGGCGAGUGAAGUGGGAAAAGCUCAACUUUGAAAUCUGGCAGCUUCGGCUGUCCGAGUUGUAGUCUCGAGAAGCGUUUUCCGUGCUGAAGCAUGCAUGAGUCUGUCGGAAUACAGCGCCAUAGAGGGUGAGAGCCCCGUCUGCGGCAUGCCUUUCAGUGCUUUGUGAUACGCUUUCGAUGAGUCGAGUUGUUUGGGAAUGCAGCUCAAAUUGGGUGGUAAGUUUCAUCUAAAGCUAAAUAUAGGCGAGAGACCGAUAGCGCACAAGUA
rnacentral:rRNA from 1 species